CUCUCUCUCUCUCUCUCUCUCUCUCUCUCUCUCUCUCUCUCUCUCUCUCUUUUCCUCUUUUUUCUUCAUCCUCUUUCUCUCCAGCGCCGUCUCGUUUUCAUCGUCGGAACCAUCCUGGUCCGCGGCCGAUACGGCUUGGGACGUCCCAAAUCAGGCGGUUCGGGAUAGUUCCGCUGACAUUGCUUCAGGGAGUCCAAUGAGAUGGUUAAAGUUUGAUUAGAACCUUGUUUUUUCUCAAUAAUUAAUCUUGAGCUCAACUGUGAAGUUUUGUAAAAGACUAUGGGAUACUUCCCAAAAAUCUACUGGCCAUCGGAAAAUAUUAUCUCCUAUCAUUUAGGCAUUAGUUUGAGCUUUCGUUAGUAAAAGUUGAUAAGCUUUUGUUUCUCUUCACAAAACAGUAAAUAUUGGUUGACUAAAAUGCAUAUUUAUAUUUAUAUAUACUAAAUUUUUUAUUUCUUGUGUAGGAGGCAUGGACUCAGUUCAGUUCAGUCAGUGGACUUUGAUGGUGAGAUGGUCAUCAUUUGGCUGCUUGUUUCAAAACCUAAAAUAAAUACUUUAGUGUCAUGGAGUGUAUCUGAUAUGUUUGUCCAUGAGAGAGAGGAUUUUAGGUGUGUGAUAUCCAGAGCAAGAAUUAUGUUUUAGAAGAUUAUCAUAUUGUUUGCCUAGAGAACUGUUAGUCAUACUGAAUAAGAUCCAUACUAUUGAUAUCCUAUUACUUCGGGUCACGUUGGCACUAAACUAGUUCUGCAAACAAAAAUUUUACUACUGAAGGUUGUCAGGUUCUAGUAUAUGCCUGUUACUAGGUUGUGGCUGUCGUAAGUGUUGUCUAUUAUGUAUCUCAAACAAAUGAAGGAGAGAAGAGGAGAGAGAGGAGAGGAG
rnacentral:lncRNA from 1 species